rnacentral:rRNA from 1 species
UACGGAGGGGGCUAGCGUUGUUCGGAAUUACUGGGCGUAAAGCGCACGUAGGCGGAUCAGUCAGUUAGAGGUGAAAGCCCAGGGCUCAACCCUGGAACUGCCUUUAAUACUGCUGGUCUGGAGUCCGAGAGAGGUGAGUGGAAUUCCGAGUGUAGAGGUGAAAUUCGUAGAUAUUCGGAGGAACACCAGUGGCGAAGGCGCUGCACUGGCUCGGUACUGACGCUGAGGUGACGAAAGCGUGGGGGAGCAAACAGG